rnacentral:rRNA from 1 species
GCCAGACUCCUACGGGAGGCAGCAGUUAGGGAUAUUCGUCAAUGGGGGAAACCCUGAACGAGCAAUGCCGCGUGAAUGAAGACGGUCCUAUGGAUUGUAAAAUUCUGUUGUUAGGGACGAACGACCGUAGUAGGAAAUGACUACGGAGUGACGGUACCUUUCAAGAAAGCUCCGGCUAACUACGUGCCAGCAGCCGCGGUAAUACGUAGGGAGCGAGCGUUAUCCGGAUUUAUUGGGUGUAAAGCGUGUGUAGGCGGUAAAUUAAGUCUAAGGUUUAAGCCCGGGGCUCAACUCCGGUUCGCCUUAGAAACUGGUUUUCUUGAGUAUGGUAGAGGCAAGUGGAAUUUCUAGUGUAGCGGUAAAAUGCGUAGAUAUUAGAAGGAACACCAGUGGCGAAGGCGACUUGCUGGGCCAAAACUGACGCUGAGACACGAAAGCGUGGGGAGCAAAUAGGAUUAGAUACCCUAGUAC